AUUGCAAGGUCAAGGCCAUAGCAGAAGUGCUUAUGGCGUGGCCUGUCAGAUCCAAUGAAUCUGCAACUUCUGCU
rnacentral:lncRNA from 1 species